CAAAAUGAAAAAUGCUCUAAAAAGGUUAAAGAAAUUGAUAUAAAAGAUAUUGAAAAAUAGAUAAUCAAAUUAUUUUUUCAUUCAUUGUUAACACUUUAGAAAUUUUGUUUUUAUGCUUUAAAUAUAAUAUACAUGUGUGUAUGUGUGAACCCGUAAAUGCACAUUUAUAACCUAACCCCGAAAAGAUAGGAGAAGAGCAACGCACCAGCAAUUUUUUACUGAUAUGGCACAGAAUAUCAUGC
rnacentral:lncRNA from 1 species